rnacentral:misc_RNA from 1 species
AACGCACAUUGCGCCCAUUAGUAUUCUAGUGGGCAUGCCUGUUCGAGCGUCAUUACAACCCUCAAGCGCCCUGGUGCUUGGUGUUGGGGCUUCUGCUUGUGGCAGGCCCUGAAAGAUAGUGGCGAGCUCGCCGUGACCCUGAGCGUAGUAGUUUACACCUCGCUUCUGUGGCUCGCGGCGGGUUCUCGGCCGUGAAAACCCCCAAUUUUUACAAGGUUGACCUCGGAUCAGGUAGGAAUACCCGCUGAACUUAA